rnacentral:rRNA from 1 species
AUUAAAUUUAUUUCAGUGAUUGAAAAUGCUUUCAGGUGAUUAAUGCCUGCUCUGAACAGCCUGCCGUUUUCCUUUGAUGAUCUUCACCGGUUGUCUUGGAUGACCGGAAGUUUACUUUGAAAAAAUCAGAGCGAUCAAAGCAGGCGUGACACCUGAAUAAUGGUGCAUGGAAUAAUGGAAGAGGACCUCGGUUCUAUUUUGUUGGUUUUCGGAAUACGAGGUAAUGAUUAAGAGGAACAGGCGGGGACAUUUGUAUUCCGACGGUAGAGGUGAAAUUCUUGGACCAUCGCAAGACUAACUACUGUGAAAGAAGAAAUUAAGUAUUGAAGAAUC